rnacentral:rRNA from 1 species
UCCUACGGGAGGCAGCAGUGAGGAAUAUUGGUCAAUGGGCGGGAGCCUGAACCAGCCAAGUCGCGUGAGGGAAGACGGUCCUAUGGAUUGUAAACCUCUUUAGGCGGGGAGCAAUGCCGGGCACGUGUGCCCGGAGGGAGAGUACCCGCAGAAUAAGCAUCGGCUAACUCCGUGCCAGCAGCCGCGGUAAUACGGAGGAUGCGAGCGUUAUCCGGAUUUAUUGGGUUUAAAGGGUGCGUAGGCGGAUUUUUAAGUCAGCGGUAAAAGCCCGGGGCUCAACCCCGGCGAGCCGUUGAAACUGUCGG